CGAUCCAGAGAUGUCCGAAUGGGGGAACCCACUAGCUAAUGGCUAGUACUCCUAUCUGUUAAGGAUAGGUAGAGGAAGACGCAGUGAACUGAAACAUCUAAGUAGCUGCAGGAAGAGAAAGCAAAAGCGAUUGCCUUAGUAGCGGCGAGCGAAACGGCAAGAGGGCAAACCGAAGAGUUUACUCUUCGGGGUUGUAGGACUGCAACGUGGACUUAAAGAUUAUAGAAGAACUACCUGGGAAGGUAGGCCAAAGAGAGUAAUAGCCUCGUAUUCGAAAUAGUCUUUAUACCUAGCAGUAUCCUGAGUACGGCGAGACACGAGAAAUCUCGUCGGAAUCUGGGAGGACCAUCUCCCAACCCUAAAUACUCUCUAGUGACCGAUAGUGAACCAGUACCGUGAGGGAAAGGUGAAAAGCACCCCGGGAGGGGAGUGAAAUAGAACCUGAAACCGUGUGCCUACAACAAGUUCGAGCCCGUUAAUGGGUGAGAGCGUGCCUUUUGUAGAAUGAACCGGCGAGUUACGAUAUGAUGCGAGGUUAAGUUGAAGAGACGGAGCCGUAGGGAAACCGAGUCUUAAUAGGGCGUAUUAGUAUCAUGUCGUAGACCCGAAACCAUGUGACCUACCCAUGAGCAGGUUGAAGGUGAGGUAAAACUCACUGGAGGACCGAACCAGGGCACGUUGAAAAGUGCUUGGAUGACUUGUGGGUAGCGGAGAAAUUCCAAACGAACUUGGAGAUAGCUGGUUCUCUCCGAAAUAGCUUUAGGGCUAGCGUCGAUGUUAAGUCUCUUGGAGGUAGAGCACUGUUUGGGUGAGGGGUCCAUCCCGGAUUACCAAUCUCAGAUAAACUCCGAAUGCCAACGAGAUAUAAUCGGCAGUCAGACUGCGAGUGCUAAGAUCCGUAGUCGAAAGGGAAACAGCCCAGACCACCAGCUAAGGUCCCAAAAUAUAUGUUAAGUGGAAAAGGAUGUGGGGUUGCACAGACAACUAGGAUGUUAGCUUAGAAGCAGCUAUUCAUUCAAAGAGUGCGUAAUAGCUCACUAGUCGAGUGACCCUGCGCCGAAAAUGUACCGGGGCUAAAACAUAUUACCGAAGCUGUGGAUACCUUUAUAGGUAUGGUAGGAGAGCGUUCUAUGUGCGAAGAAGGUGUACCGUGAGGAGUGCUGGAGCGCAUAGAAGUGAGAAUGCCGGUAUGAGUAGCGAAAGACAGGUGAGAAUCCUGUCCACCGUAAGACUAAGGUUUCCAGGGGAAGGCUCGUCCGCCCUGGGUUAGUCGGGACCUAAGGAGAGACCGAAAGGUGUAUCCGAUGGACAACAGGUUGAUAUUCCUGUACUAGAGUAUAUAGUGAUGGAGGGACGCAGUAGGCUAACUAAACCAGACGAUUGGAAGUGUCUGGCCAAGCAGUGAGGUGUGAUAUGAGUCAAAUGCUUAUAUCUAUAACAUUGAGCUGUGAUGGGGAGCGAAGUUUAGUAGCGAAGUUAGUGAUGUCACACUGCCGAGAAAAGCUUCUAGCGUUAAUUAUACUCUACCCGUACCGCAAACCGACACAGGUAGUCGAGGCGAGUAGCCUCAGGUGAGCGAGAGAACUCUCGUUAAGGAACUCGGCAAAAUGGCCCCGUAACUUCGGGAGAAGGGGCGCUGACUUAUGGUCAGCCGCAGUGAAUAGGCCCAAGCAACUGUUUAUCAAAAACACAGCUCUCUGCUAAAUCGUAAGAUGAUGUAUAGGGGGUGACGCCUGCCCGGUGCUGGAAGGUUAAGAGGAGUGCUUAGCAAUAGCGAAGGUAUGAAUUGAAGCCCCAGUAAACGGCGGCCGUAACUAUAACGGUCCUAAGGUAGCGAAAUUCCUUGUCGGGUAAGUUCC
rnacentral:rRNA from 1 species